GAUGUUAGCGGCGGAGGGGUGAGUAACACGUGGGUAACCUGCCUGUAAGACUGGGAUAACUCCGGGAAACCGGGGCUAAUACCGGAUGGUUGUUUGAACCGCAUGGUUCAGACAUAAAAGGUGGCUUCGGCUACCACUUACAGAUGGACCCGCGGCGCACUAGCUAGUUGGUGAGGUAACGGCUCACCAAGGCGACGAUGCGUAGCCGACCUGAGAGGGUGAUCGGCCACACUGGGACUGAGACACGGCCCAGACUCCUACGGGAGGCAGCAGUAGGGAAUCUUCCGCAAUGGACGAAAGUCUGACGGAGCAACGCCGCGUGAGUGAUGAAGGUUUUCGGAUCGUAAAGCUCUGUUGUUAGGGAAGAACAAGUGCCGUUCAAAUAGGGCGGCACCUUGACGGUACCUAACCAGAAAGCCACGGCUAACUACGUGCCAGCAGCCGCGGUAAUACGUAGGUGGCAAGCGUUGUCCGGAAUUAUUGGGCGUAAAGGGCUCGCACGCGGUUUCUUAAGUCUGAUGUGAAAGCCCCCGGCUCAACCGGGGAGGGUCAUUGGAAACUGGGGAACUUGAGUGCAG
rnacentral:rRNA from 1 species